UUGAUUUGUUUAAAAACCAAGCGACUUUCAAAGAGUAGGACUCUUAUUUUUAGCACAAGACGUCUUAAUAUUUAACUCAACAUGUUUUGUUAUGUAGCUCCGUUUUGUGGGUGUGAAUAUUUGUAGUAAAACUUUUGAAUCCAUAACCUGGGAGAAAACGUGAGAUUUUUACUAGUUUCCACAGAUAAAAUCAUUCUUUCUUAAAGGAAAAAAAUGUUAUUGUAUUGGACCCAGAACUUCACCUAAAGCCGUCAUUCUAUUGUGUCUUUAUCAAAGAAGUUACGGCUCCUGACUAGUAGUGUGUAUGGUUAACAGAUGGGCUUUGCUGCAUCUGAAGUAAAGGUUAAGUCUGUGGAUGAAACAUGGAAGUCAAGAUUUUUCGAUGGAAACUAUCUCCUCCAUGACUUCUUCUCAUAUAUCAUCAGACAAUGAGUUUCUGCGUCUGCCCUCAAGAUCUUCUGCGACAGGUCCACCUUUUCAGUGCACUUGUGGUAAAUCCUAUCAACAAUACCCAUCCCUCUGGCGGCACCGGCGCUAUGAAUGUGGAAAAGUGCCUCUCUUUCAUUGUCCAUUUUGUGACUACCGUAGCAAGCAGAAAGCAUACAUGAAGAAACAUGUUGAAAGAAGGCAUGUUUAUGAGGAGAAAUCCAUUAUGAAGACAAACUAUAAUAAUCAGUCAUCAAUUUUGUGAAGAUCAAUAUGUGGAAAGGUGGUUAUCAUCUCACCAGGACUGUGGAGGAAGUGAAUCCAAGUACCCAACCCAAGCACAUCAAUGUGAUACAUGCAGUCGUGUUUAUUCUCAU